GCGGGGCCCCGCCAUGGCUGGCAAGGACAGUGGCAACCUGAAGACGGUGAGACUGUGGCGGGACGCCGCCCUGCGCGCCAGGAAGCUGCGGAGCAACCUGCGCCAGCUCACGCUCAGCUGCCCGGGGGCCGGAGGCGACGCACUCGACUCCCCAGACGCCCCCCAGCUGGUGCUGCCGGCCAACAUCGGGGACAUUGAGGUGCUGAACCUGGGGAACAACGGCCUGGAGGAUGUGCCUGAAGGUCUGGGGUCGGCUGUGGGCAGCCUUCGCGUCUUGGUGUUGCGCAGGAACCGCUUUGCCCGGCUGCCCCCUGCGGUGGCGGAGCUAGGCCAUCACCUUACGGAGCUGGACGUGAGCCACAACCGGCUGACAGUCCUGGGUGCCGAGGUGGUGAGCGCCCUAAGGGAGCUGCGCAAGCUCAACUUGAGCCACAACCAGCUGCCAGCUCUGCCUGCCCAGCUGGGUGCCCUCGCCCACCUGGAGGAGCUGGAUGUCAGCUUCAACCGGCUAGCACAUCUGCCAGAUUCCUUCUCCAGCCUCAACCACCUGCGCACCCUCGACGUGGACCACAACCAACUCACCGCCUUUCCCAGGCAGCUGUUGCAGCUGACUGCCUUGGAGGAGCUGGACGUAUCUAGCAACCGGCUGCGAGGCCUACCUGAGGAUAUCAGUGCCCUGCGUGCCCUCAAGAUUCUCUGGCUUAGUGGGGCCGAGCUUGGCACCCUGCCCAGCGGCUUCUGCGAGCUGGCCAGUUUAGAAAGCCUCAUGUUAGACAACAACGGGCUGCAGGCUCUGCCCCCCGAAUUCAGCCGCCUGCAAAGACUCAAGAUGCUCAACCUCUCUUCCAACCUCUUUGAGGAGUUUCCUGCUGCGCUGCUGCCCCUGGCUGGUCUGGAGGAGCUCUAUCUUAGUCGCAACCAGCUCACCUCAGUGCCAUCCCUUAUCGCCGGGCUGGGCCGGCUUCUCACCCUGUGGCUGGAUAAUAACCGCAUCCGCUACUUGCCAGACUCCAUCGUGGAGCUGACCGGCCUGGAGGAGCUGGUGCUUCAGGGCAACCAGAUCGCUGUUCUGCCUGACAACUUUGGCCAGCUCUCCAGGGUAGGCUUGUGGAAAAUCAAGGACAACCCACUGAUUCAGCCCCCUUACGAAGUCUGCAUGAAGGGGAUCCCUUACAUCGCAGCCUACCAGAAGGAACUGGCUCAUUCCCAGCCAGCUGUGCAGCCCCGCCUCAAGCUGCUCCUAAUGGGCCAUAAGGCUGCAGGGAAGACCCUGCUCCGGCAUUGCCUCACCGAGGACAAAGUGGAGGGAGAUCAAGGAGGAGGGGACAAGGAGAAGAGCUACCUACUCUUCCCUCCCCUUGGGAGCAAGGGCAUCGAGGUGACCAGCUGGACUGCGGAUGCUUCCCGGGGCCUGCGGUUCAUUGUGUAUGACUUAGCCGGUGAUGAAAGCUACGAGGUGAUACAGCCCUUCUUCCUCUCCCCAGGAGCCCUGUAUGUGCUGGUGGUCAACUUGGCCACCUAUGAACCUCGCUGCUUUCCUACUGCUGUGGGCACCUUCUUGCACCGGGUGGGGGCCCGGGUGCCUCACGCUGUGGUGUGCAUUGUGGGCACCCACGCGGACCUGUGCGGGGAACGGGAGCUUGAGGAAAAGUGUCUGGACAUUCACCGCCAGAUCGCUCUACAGGAGAAGCACGAUGCAGAGGGCCUAAGCCAUCUAGCCAAGGUGGUGGACGAGGCCCUGGCUCGGGACUUCGAGCUGCGCUCUGCCAGCCCCCAUGCCGCCUACUACGGUGUUUCAGACAAGAACCUUCGGAGGCGCAAGGCCCAUUUUCAGUACCUACUUAACCACCGGCUGCAGAUCCUCUCCCCCGUGUUGCCUGUUAACUGCAGGGACCCCCACCAAUUGCAACGCCUUCGCGACAAGCUGCUCUCUGUCGCUGAGCACCGAGAGAUCUUCCCCAACUUACACAGAGUCCUGCCUCGAUCCUGGCAGGUGCUCGAGGAACUGCACUUCCAGCCACCUCAGGCACAGCGACUGUGGCUAAGCUGGUGGGACUCGGCCCGCCUGGGUCUGCAGGCGGGUCUGACAGAGGACCGGCUGCAGAGUGCCCUUUCCUAUCUGCACGAGAGCGGCAAGCUACUCUAUUUCGAAGAUAGCCCGGCCCUCAAGGAGCACGUCUUCCACAACCUCACCCGCCUCAUAGACAUCCUCAAUGUCUUUUUCCAGAGGGAUGCUUCUUUGCUGCUGCAUAAGCUGCUCCUGGGGACCAGUGGAGAGGGCGAGGGGGAGGGGGAGAGUUUCCCCACCAUAGCAGUGCCCACCUCGGGUCAGGACCCACUCCGGGCCACCCAGCUUCAUCAUUAUGUGGAAGGGUUUCUGCUGCAUGGGCUCCUGCCAGCCCAUGUCAUCCGGUUGCUGCUUAAGCCUCAUGUCCAGGCCCAGCAGGACUUGCAGCUCCUCCUGGAGCUGUUGGAGAAGAUGGGACUCUGUUACUGCCUCAAUAAACCCAAAGGCAAGCCUUUGAACGGCUCCACAGCUUGGUACAAGUUCCCAUGCUACGUGCAGAACGAGGUGCCCCACGCAGAGGCCUGGAUCAACGGGACCAACCUAGCUGGGCAGUCUUUUGUGGCCGAACAGUUACAGAUCGAAUAUAGUUUCCCCUUUACCUUUCCACCUGGAUUGUUUGCACGCUACAGUGUCCAGAUCAACAGCCACGUGGUGCACAGGUCGGAUGGGAAGUUUCAGAUCUUUGCAUAUCGAGGGAAAGUCCCUGUGGUGGUGAGCUACAGACCCGCCAAGGGGGUCCUGCAGCCGGACACCCUGUCCAUUGCUAGCCACGCAUCGUUACCAAAUAUAUGGACCGCAUGGCAAGCCAUCACCCCUCUGGUAGAGGAACUGAAUGUCCUACUUCAGGAAUGGCCUGGACUGCACUACACUGUGCACAUCCUCUGUUCUAAGUGCCUUAAGAGAGGGUCCCCCAAUCCACACGCUUUCCCAGGGGAAUUGCUGAGCCAGCCCAGGCCAGAAGGGGUGGCAGAGAUCAUCUGUCCCAAGAAUGGCAGUGAGCGAGUGAAUGUGGCCUUGGUUUACCCACCUACACCGACUGUGAUCAGCCCCUGUUCCAAGUAUCUCCACACUUUCUUGGACAAUUAAGUGGAAAGGAUAGUGCUUCUUUCCCUCUGCCACCAGUUUUACUGUACCCAGUCUGUGGCUUUAGGAGCACCAAGUUUUAAGGGAAGAACGUUGGUGAAAAGCACAGAAACCAGUGACAUUCGUGGCUGUGGAAUUUCCAUGGAGCAAGCAGAGCAUGGGAACUGACUGGGACAUCUCUUGCCCCUGGUGAGCCCGCCAAGCUCCCAAGCGCCUUUGGGGCCCAGGGUGAAACCAUGCACCAGGUGCUUGCAGAGGACCCUUGGAGGGGCUAGAGGGUGCUGGGAAGAUGGGGCAAACAUGGAGCAAAUGUUUCACAACCUGAACCUCAGAACUGUGAUCCUCCAAGGAGAGCGCUACUUGAAGAAAAGAAGAAAAAAUGUUGAAUGGCUUCUCAGGGAUUUUGUUUUCCGUGUACACAUAAGCCAUAGUUCCAGUCCGGGUGGCAGUAUUUCGAGCACUCAGAUUUCAGUUCUGUUCAAUGUGAAGGAGGGACCGACUGACGUUCAUUGCUGUUCCGUCACUAGUGUAAAAUAUGUAUAUGUUAAUCUUUAUUUUUAUAAUAUGCAAAUGCAUUUAAAUUUAUACAGUUUGGACGCCUCUAGCAUUAGUUAACACUGGGUGCAAUAUUCUGCAUGAGAACUGUGCCAAGAUGGGGCUGAUGUCUUCUUUUAGUGUUAGACUUUUUGUUCUCUCAUCAAUCAUCCUUUAUCCAGAACGGGAAAGCUACCCUCUUACGGUUAGUUCAUGGAUGGAUGCAGUGUUGCUUCCUAGAGCUCUCUAGUGAUCCCCAGGCACAUCCAACCCACUGGGACAGAGUCCCCUCCCAUCUUUUCAUCACGCGCCAAUACCUGUUCGUCAGUGGGCGUGGUGUUAAAGAUGGUUAAUUUUCUCUCCCUACACAUCCCCACUGCCGAGGCAGAGGGAGGCAUUCCUAGGGGCCAAAUGGGGUGGAGGAUCCAUGAAAACCUGACUCUUGGAGCAACUUGAGAUAAUCUGAGGUCAGUUCUCAAUCUCUCAACGUUUCUGUUCUGCACCCUUCCCCGCCCCCACCUCCCCACCCUCUCACCCCCGCUGGAACAGUGUGCAUGAUUUAGCCAAGCCUUGUGUGAGUCCACCUCUGCCCGCGGACCUCCCGGUAGGAGCUUGCUUUCACAGAACUCUGUCUCUCAUUGGCUGUUUAUUCAUUCAGAGCCUCGUGGAGGACAUCCACUGCCAAAAUCUAGUAAAGCCCUUGUUUUGAAGUCUCCGGGAGGUAAACACUUAAAAACAAACCCCACAAAUCACUCUCUCGUGUCCUCCUACUUGGGGCCAAGCAGCAUAUGCCACAGCAGUGACACCACAUUCUCUGAAUAACGGAAAGGUUUCUGUUUACAUCCGCAGCCUCCGUGUGUUGACAGGGAGCAUGUAAAACCAACUUCCCCGCAAGAAAAGCAAGUCAGCUGGUCCUACUCUCUCCCUUGUUUAUAAAGUAUCGCCUCUUGGAAUGCUAUAGCACAUGCAGUCACCAUGAAUCUUUAAGGGAAGUGCAAGCAGGCAGCUACACUGUGAGAAAUUACCAGUUUGUGAAGAAUCGUUGACUUCCCCCGCCCCCCUCCCCAGCCCGUUCCGCAAAGGCAAUUUCUUGGAAAUCAGAAUUGAAUGGGAAUCUUCUUUUUUUGUGUUUUGAAUACUUGACUUUGACAAGUCUAAGAUUUCCUUUUCCUUUUAGAACACAGUCGAAGAACGAAUCAGAAUUUGGUUGAUUAUUUUUGUCACAGUUCUCAUGUGUGCGUGCGUGCGUGUGUGUGUGUGUGUGUGUGAAGUGUAAACCGAAGGGUUAUCAUUCUGUUGCUUUACGGAACACAGAAAUUUGAGCGAUAGAUUCGUUUGUUUUUGUUUUUUUAAUUGGCACCAGUCAGUUCUGACACCGUCAAAUCAAGAAACUUUGACCAGUCUUAUAAUGUCACGUAUGACUUUGGGUUUACUCCCCAGAGGGCCAUGUUAAAUAAAACUAAGGCUCCUUGGGGAAGCCCACCCUGCAAUUGGUUGUUGUUUUCAUAAACGCAGACGCCCAUGUUCUGAAUAUCUGCUACUUUUUUUGACAAAUGAUGUUUGUGUUGUCAUCUGAACCCUAGAGAAGCGGUGUAGAUGAGGGAACCUUGGUUGUCACGUGUGUGUGGCCAGGGUGGACAUGGUCAGAGGGUCAUGUGCCUGAAAAAGCUCCAGCAAAGCCUGAGAACCAUCCUCAGUUGUGGGGGGAAGGUUGGAGAAACAGAAACCACUCCACUAAAAGGAAUUCCAGGAAAUUCUGUUUCCUCGUUUCAACACCUGGCAAGACUCGGCGGCCAGCAGCUGAGAGGCCUUUCACUAAGCACAAGAGGCAUGGUUCUACCUGAGGAGCCCCUUGCCUGUCAAAUGCUCUCCAAGUCUGUUAUGGUUUCUAUUCCUACAACUAUAUUGGUAGCAAAACCACUUCCCGGGAUUGUAAAAGUGCUGCCAGAAUAAAUGUUUUCCCCCUUCUAAGGAAAAAAAAACAAAAAACAAAAAAAACCCAGACAGUGCUCAUAUUUGACAUGUGCACUGAACUCUUUUGAAUGAAUAAAGAGGAAGGGCUUGAUGUGAUUCCAAUGGAGUGUGUCUUUUCAUGCUGAAGUCUGUGGAUCGUGGUUGUGGUUUCCCUGUUCAUUGUCCUGACAGGGCAGAAAUUAAAAAAAAAAAAAUCAAUAAAAAUACAAUGA